CAUGGAAGUGUGGUCUUCUAUGACAACAUCAUUCAUGUCUUCCUCUGCUCUAGCCUUGACAUCGCGUGCAAGUACGAGGACAAUGAUGCACCAUUGUAGCCCACCACUUGUUGUUUGCACGGUCAUACACUGGCAGUGGCAUGGAUGGUGUCCUGGUGCAAUCAGGGCUACAAUCAGUCUCAGGAAAAGAUGUAAAUGAGCACACAAU